rnacentral:rRNA from 1 species
CCCGCGAACAAAUACUAACUCGGGGCGCGGGGAAGGCGCACCCGUGCGCCUCCACCCCUCGCCCCCUAGCCGGGCAGCGCCUAUCGUCGCCCCGACCUCCAUCGGGCAGCGUCGAGCGGCGCUCCUACGGCGACAUAACGAACCCCGGCGCGGAAUGCGCCAAGGAAAACAAAACGAACUCAGCACGUCGCCCGCCGACUCGUGCGGCGGCGACGAUGCAAACUUCGAUACCUUAACGACUCUCGGCAACGGAUAUCUCGGCUCUCGCAUCGAUGAAGAACGUAGCGAAAUGCGAUACUUGGUGUGAAUUGCAGAAUCCCGUGAACCAUCGAGUCUUUGAACGCAAGUUGCGCCCGAAGCCAUUCGGCCGAGGGCACGCCUGCCUGGGCGUCACGUAUCGCGUUGCUCCCACAUCACCUGCCCCAAGGGCAUGCGGUGCGGGAGCGGACAUUGGCCUCCCGCGCUCCAAGCUCGGCUGGCCUAAAUGCAAGCCUCGGGGUGACCAAGGGUCACGACAAGCGGUGGUUGAUAAUCUCUCGGCCCUUGUCGCGUCGUGCCCGUCCGUCCCCCUUCGAGCUCCGAAUCCCCAACGCGCCACUUCAAACGGCGCUUGCAUCGCGACC